rnacentral:lncRNA from 1 species
UACGUUGGUUUUCUUCAUAGCAAACGUUCACAAAUUAUUGAAGUUGUGGUAAGGCUUUGUUUGGUUUGAUGGGUUAGGCCCUAGCUAGGCUUGUGAACAAGAAGAGGAAGUUCCCUUUGAUGUAUCUCUUGAGCUUGCCAUGCUAUAUGGCAAUUCCGAUUGAUGUAUCUUUUUUACUUUACAAGAAGUGAGGGAUUAUUUUCGUGAUAUUUCUAGCUCAUUUUACUUUUUUUAAUUUUUGUUUUAUUUUAAUGUAAAGAAAUUUAGGUUUGUUAAGAGUGAUAUUUUUUUUUAAAAAAAACUACUGCACUAUAAUUGUAUAGUAAAACCACAUUUUCCAAAAAACCAAUUUCAUCGUGCUACACUUUUCUUUACACUUCUUUGAUAUACUAUGUCAAUAUGUAUAAGUGAAGUCUGCACCUUGAUUCAGUAUAUGACAUAGUUCUAUAACCAAGAGUCCAAGAACAUCAAAUAAAAUAGUAAUUCUGUGAUGCCCUUUUUAUAAUCUUAUUAUUAAAGUGUAUUUUGUGAAGUUUGAUGUUUUAUAAGAAGAGAAGUAAUUGGCCUGCUCACGGCCUUGUGUCUGGGCCGAAAGUGAAUCACGGCCAUUAUCCAGAUCCAAAACUUAGGCCAGAAAUGGAUCAUAGUGAAGCCCGGGACAGGGUCACGGAUUCAAUCACGGGCUCCUUACUCGCUGUGAGCCCAUCAGUUCUGUACUUCUGUGCAAUUUCUAGAGUCAG